CAAACCCUAAAAACGUAGUUGCAGCCACCGCCAAGAUCCUCCAUCAGUUACACAAAAUCUCACCUACCGACAAUAAUCUUCUUCGAAUUCAUCCUCAUCGCUUCAUCUUUUUCUUCAAUCCAUGAUUACAAGUAACUGCUAUAAUCGGUUUCAAGCUUUCUUUGACCAUCUUUUUGAAGAUUAUACUUUUCUCCAUCGAUUGGCAAGGAAUAGAGGAAAGGAAAAAUCAUUGGCUUUCCACUGUAUUUGAUGAGUUAUUAAUCAAGUUUAGGCAUUCAGUUUUUUUAAGUCUUUUCCUGAAAGUUGAAAGCUUUGAAUAUUAAUUUUGGUCAAAUUGAAGGUGAAUUCUGCUUCAAUCCAUCUUCUUCCAUUCAUGUUUGAUCAUCCAAGAGUUGAAACAGAGGCGAUUGUUAAAGACGAUGGGGUUAGGUUUUCUUCUUGAUGUUGAUGACAAAAACCUCUCAAACAUCCACUUUUUAUUGUAAAACCGACGUUGGAGCCUCUUAAUAUGGAGACUCACUCUUGUCAAGGAAAGCAUGAAGCUUAAUGUUGCUUCUUUGCUUAUCAGUUUGGUUUUAUAAACACAACUCACUCGCUAACCGAACCCCAAGCUGAAUUACCGCAGCUAGAUGCUAAGGUAAAAUGGAUCCAAGUAGAUUAGACAAUCAUGAUGCAGUCUCUCAACCAGGACCAAAUGCUCGUGUCGUGUACAUUGAUGGAGGGUUUGAUCUUUUUCAUGUUGGACAUGUUGAAGUAUGUAGCCUGUUGAUUUCUUAUCUUCAUCCAUCGGUAUCUUUUAAAUCCAUCUUUUUACUUCAUUCAUCCUCUGAUUGUAUAUGUUAGUCUUUGAUUUGUGUAUGUUUCACGCAUUGCUAUGUUAAUGGCUAUGGUCCAAUUUUGGUAUUUUUUUUUCACAAUUUUGUUAAUGGAUGUGCUAUCAAUUGUUACAAGAAAACAUCGACUUUAGGUUUUUUGUUUGUUUAAACUUAAUCUAUAAAGGAUGGUGAGGUUUGAUUGGUUUAGAUAAACCUGCACAAUUUGCCCUAAUCUUGGUUUAGAUAAACCUGCACAAUUUUCCCUAAUCUAUAUUUCUUUUUGAAGUAUCAUCAGGUUUGAUUGAUUCAAAUGCCCUAAUGGCUUCAUCAUCCUCACUUAGUUUAUUUUGUAAUUUUGUUUUAAUUUAGGACUUUGUAUUGUUGUUAUCGAUCAGACAUCUCAACCUGGUCUUGAAUUAGGGCUUUAUAGCAUCUCAGUUUUGUUUUAAGAGAGAUUCAUGAGUUUUUAUUUGUAUGUUUGAUUUAUAAUUGAGAGUCAGGGUUUUAGCUAUACCUACUAUCUAGCCAAACUACAAGAAGCAACACUCCAGAUAAUGAGAUCAAAGUUGACUCCUACUUAUAUAAUUUGUGCUAACAAUAUUUUUAGAGUAACAAAGUGCGAGGACACACUUGGUUUAGAGAUCAAAGUUGACUCCUACUUAUAUAUUUUUAGAGUAAGUUACAAGCUGUUCUAACAAUGUGUUUGAUUUAUAUAUGAAGUUAUUUCUACACUAUUUAUUUACAGACAGAUGAGCAGCCGAGGGGAAGACCUAAACAACCUGUGUAGGGAAUAUUGAAGACCUGCUGAACCAGCUACUUGAUUAAUAGGUAGUGCCUGAAUGCGGAGAUCGACGACUCGACUAAAAGUAUAAGCGUCACCUUCUUCAAGGAAGGCAUGACCUCUUUCCUCCGAUUCCUUCUCCAAUUCCACUUUGUAGCUUCCAGGUAACAAUCGUAGUUCUAAGUUUAAAAUCUUUUAUUUCGAAAUCUUUAUAUUGCUGGUUUAUAUGUUUAUCGUUUUAGGGCUUUUUACCAUCAAAGUAUUUUGAUUCAUCAGUAUAAAGAUCCCACCUACUGAAUUCACGGUGAAAUUUGAAAAAUAAGUGAUCCGAUUUGGAAACCAUGGGAGAUUACAACGAUCCGUUCAUGCUUAGAAAAUAAGUUAUGAGGUGUGGAAUUAGGAGAAUCCGUAUUUAUACCAUACCAGCCAGAUUUUGUCACCUGAAAUAUGUUGCUUAGUGUUUACUUGCUCAUCAAAAGGUUUCCUUUUUAAUUCUUU